UACGGGGGGAGCAAGCGUUGUUCGGAUUUACUGGGCGUAAAGGGCGCGUAGGCGGUCAGCACAAGUCAGUUGUGAAAUCUCCGGGCUUAACUCGGAAAGGUCAACUGAUACUGUGCGACUAGAGUGCAGAAGGGGCAACUGGAAUUCUCGGUGUAGCGGUGAAAUGCGUAGAUAUACGGAGGAACACCAGCGGCGAAGGCGGGUAGCUGGGCCAACACUGACGCUGAUGUGCGAAAGCUAGGGGAGCAAACGGG
rnacentral:rRNA from 1 species